rnacentral:rRNA from 1 species
UACGAAGGGGGCUAGCGUUGCUCGGAAUCACUGGGCGUAAAGGGCGCGUAGGCGGCCGAUUAAGUCGGGGGUGAAAGCCUGUGGCUCAACCACAGAAUUGCCUUCGAUACUGGUUGGCUUGAGACCGGAAGAGGACAGCGGAACUGCGAGUGUAGAGGUGAAAUUCGUAGAUAUUCGCAAGAACACCAGUGGCGAAGGCGGCUGUCUGGUCCGGUUCUGACGCUGAGGCGCGAAAGCGUGGGGAGCAAACAGGAUUAGAUACCCCCGUAGUCC